UACAGAGGUCUCAAGCGUUGUUCGGAUUCAUUGGGCGUAAAGGGUGCGUAGGUGGCGCCAUAAGUCAGGUGUGAAAUCUCGGGGCUCAACCCCGAAACUGCACUUGAUACUGUGGUGCUGGAGUACUGGAGAGGAGAUUGGAAUUUACGGUGUAGCAGUGAAAUGCGUAGAUAUCGGAAGGAACAUCAGUGGCGAAAGCGGCUUCCUGGACCAGAACUGACGAUCAGGCUCGAAAGCGUGGGGAGCAAACAGG
rnacentral:rRNA from 1 species